UUUAUUUAUUUAAAUCUGAAUUGUUCAACAGUCUCAAACACUAGUAAAAAUCCUUUAAAGAUGGACUUUAAAGGUGGAGGUGGACAGAAUGAAAGAUUCUGGGGAAAUUUAGCAGAGUCUGGGAUUCUCUAUAUUUUACCAAAAAACAAAUAAACAAACAAAAAAAUUUUUCAACAACAAAAAAAUCGUCAAUUUUUACAAUCAAGUGACAUAAGAAUGUUCUAUUCAUUUUGACAGUGAAUUUCUGUUGGUCUUCAAGAGGAAAUUAUACUAUAUUGAAGUCUUUAGUAUUUAGCCUAAAUUUUUCCUCAUUUUCAGAAAGAAAAUAAGUUGAAUAGAAUCCUUAAUUAUUUUAUUGAGCUUAAAUAUUGCUGAAAGUAAAAAGAAGCAAAACAUACAUAAAUUUCUAAACAUAUAUAAAUUUCAUUCAAGAAAAUACUAGUUUUCCUCAAUUGACUUUGUAGUUUAGUAGAAUAAAAUAGCAUCAGUAAAAGCUUUGAAGUAACACCCUCUAAACUUCAGUGACCACUGAAGUUUGUGUUUCUCCUUUUAGCAAAUAAUUGUGUGUGUGUUUUUUUUUAAUUCAAGUACAACAGGGAGCUCAUGGAAUCUUUGUGAUGGGAAUGGAAAGGGUAAAGUCAUGUUUUUCAUUUGUAAGGCAUUAGUUUGAAUUUAGUUUAAAAUAAGUCCUAAGAUCUUCUGUAAACAAUCUUUUUUCUUUAAGAGAGAGAGAGUGAGUGAGAGAGCACGAGAGAGGGGCAGAGGGAGAAGGAGAGAGAGAAUCUUACACAGGCUCCCCACUCAGCACAGAGCCAGACAGGGGGCUCAACCUCACAACCAUAAGAUUAUGACCUAAGCUGAAAUCAAGAGUUGGACCCUUAACCGACUGAGCCACCCCGGUGUCCCAAAAUGUUUGUGUUUUUUUUUUUUUUUAACAGAAAUGUGAUUAAAGCUAGUCCUAGUGAUUCAAUUUAUCCACUGACAUGUAAAGUAUAAUUGACUAAAAUCCAUGGAGACCCAUCUUAUGUUUUCCAGGCAUAGGCAUGCGGAUUGUAUUUAGGAAUGGCUUUUUAGCGAUAACAGAUCACCCUCCUCAGGUACAUAAUUCUUCUGGCGUUGGGAAGUCUCAAUGAGGAAAGUGCACCUAUCCAGGGUAGCUGUCCUAGGCAAGUAGAACUAGCUGUGGAGUACCCACCCUGGUACUUGAGCAGAGUACGAGAGCCGCAGACAUAACCACUGAAGGCAAUGGGAGUCACCAGAUUAGAAAUAAAUGAGGGACUCCAGGCUGAUGUUCCUCCUACACAAGAUGAUGCACAGAUGUGGAGGAGGCCUUCCCUUGAAUCCUCCUUGGCAAUUUGAUGACUCAAAGAUAGAAGGCAUUUCCAAAACAGAACUGUUUUCUCAUCUUCAGUGGACUCUUUCCUUGCCAAGGUGAAGGCACUGGGUUGGAUGCUGUUUAGAACAGGCCUCGUUUCACAGAAUGGCUGGAGUUGUACUGAAUUCCUAGGGCAGGAAUCAAGCACAGAAUUACCGUCACAGCCUGCUGUGUGGUUGAUGAAGAGUAUCAAUGUGGAAGCGGCAGCAGUGGAGGGAAUAAUUUUCUAAUUUCAUGAUCAGUGGAAAAUUAGGUUAAUUAGCCUGUCGUGUUAUAUUUUAUUUAGGAUAUGUGUAUUUAAAACAAAGGCAAAAUACAGAGUAUUACAAACACAGGGAAAAAUUGGUGCACUUGAGUGGCGUGAGCACACUGAUCUACAAAGCUCAUUAGUAAAAGGUCGUGGUAAGGGGCGCCUGGGUGGCUCAGUCGAGUCGGUUAAGCGACCGACUUCGGCUCAGGUCGUGAUCUCGCGGUCUGUGAGUUUGAGCCCCGCGUCGGGCUCUGUGCUGACAGCUCAGAGCCUGGAGCCUGUUUCAGAUUCUGUGUCUCCCUCUCUCUGACCCUCCCCCGUUCAUGCUCUGUCUCUGUCUCAAAAAUAAAUAAAUGUUAAAAAAAAAAAAA